CCUACGGGUGGCAACAGUGGGGAAUAUUGGACAAUGGGCGAAAGCCUGAUCCAGCCAUGCCGCGUGUGUGAAGAAGGCCUUCGGGUUGUAAAGCACUUUCAGUGGGGAAGAAAGCCUUGGGGCUAAUACCCUCGAGGAAGGACAUCACCCACAGAAGAAGCACCGGCUAACUCCGUGCCAGCAGCCGCGGUAAUACGGAGGGUGCGAGCGUUAAUCGGAAUUACUGGGCGUAAAGCGCGCGUAGGCGGUCUGAUAAGCCGGUUGUGAAAGCCCCGGGCUCAACCUGGGAACGGCAUCCGGAACUGUCAGGCUAGAGUGCAGGAGAGGAAGGUAGAAUUCCCGGUGUAGCGGUGAAAUGCGUAGAGAUCGGGAGGAAUACCAGUGGCGAAGGCGGCCUUCUGGACUGACACUGACGCUGAGGUGCGAAAGCGUGGGUAGCAAACAGGAUUAGAUACCCCUGUAGUC
rnacentral:rRNA from 1 species